UUCCACAUGAUCGCAUGAGAUUGUGGGAAAGAUUCUAUCGGCGUGGGAUGGGGUCGCGUCCUAUCAGCUUGUUGGUGAGGUAACGGCUCACCAAGGCUUCGACGGGUAGCCGGCCUGAGAGGGCGACCGGCCACAUUGGGACUGAGAUACGGCCCAGACUCCUACGGGAGGCAGCAGUGGGGAAUAUUGCACAAUGGGCGCAAGCCUGAUGCAGCGACGCCGCGUGAGGGAUGGAGGCCUUCGGGUUGUAAACCUCUUUUGUUUGGGAGCAAGCCUUCGGGUGAGUGUACCUUUCGAAUAAGCGCCGGCUAACUACGUGCCAGCAGCCGCGGUAAUACGUAGGGCGCAAGCGUUAUCCGGAUUUAUUGGGCGUAAAGGGCGCGUAGGCGGCUCGUCGCGUCCGGUGUGAAAGUCCAUCGCUUAACGGUGGAUCUGCGCCGGGUACGGGCGGG
rnacentral:rRNA from 1 species